rnacentral:rRNA from 1 species
AUUGAAGUGGACAAAGCCCAAGAUGGAAAUCUUCGUGUUUUGCACGACGAAUUGUAAUCUAGAGAGUCAGAACUCAACGGAUGGUGGUGCAGAAGUGCCCUGGAACGGGCCGCCAAAGAGGGUGACAGCCCCGUCUGUGGUGCCGCUAUCUAACGAGUUUGGCUUCAAAGAGUCGGGUUGUUUUGUAUUGCAGCCCUAAGUGGGAGAUAAACUUCUUCUAAGGCUAAAUAUAUGUGGAAAACCGAUAGCGAACAAGUACUGUGAAGGAAAGAUGAAAAGCACUUUGAAAAGAGAGUUAAAAGACCUGAAACCGUUGAGGAGGAAGCGGUAGAGAUGAAUUCUACGGUAAGGCAUGGGGAAAAUAGCUUAACUAUGGCGGGUGAAAGUACGUCAAAGGCAAUCAUUUGUCCAAGGGGAAGCUAUUGACUUAUGUGGUAUCGUGAGGCAAGAUGGAGUGAUAUUUCUGCAGAGGCCUUGUAGGUUUGGCUUGACUUGUCAGGCAGCCUGUGAGUGCCGGUAGAGAUAUGGCUUGAGGGUGCUUUGUGCGAUCUUGUCAAAAUGGUCUUUACCGACUCGUCUUGAAACACGAGCCAAGGAGUCUAACGUACAUGCGAGUAUGCUGGUUCAAAAACCAACAUGCGUAAUGAAAGUAAAAGAUGCCAAGCGCAAGCAGCAGCAUCGACCGACCAUGAUUCUCUGAUGAAAGGUUUGUGUAAGAGCAUGUCCGCUAGGACCCGAAAGAUGGUGAACUAUGCCUGCGUAGGGUGAAGCCAGGG